AGUAGUGGCAGCAGCAGCAGCGCCAAUAGAAAAUAUGCGGGGGAGGCGCAGUCGAUGUCGAUGUCGACGUCGCGACGUCUGCUGACUGCUGUCAGUAUCGCGCUCUUCUGUCGCUUUUUCUGGCCUCUCUUUGCCUGUCUCUCAUUCUCCCACUCUCAGUCAGCAAACGAAAAACGUGACAGAGACGUGGUGUUGUGGUUUUCUGCUCGUAGGCUUUUGAUACCCUCGAUAAGGUAUUUUCGUUUGCACAACAGUUUGAUACUUUGCUAUCUCUGGCUCUAUUCGGAAUCGAGACGUGUACUAGUAAAAGCUACUGAUGUAUGGAAGACGCCGAGAGAUUACUCGGGACGAUCAUUCUUGAAGAUGAAAGGGAAACGGUGGAAAAACUCUCUGGAUUUUAGUUAUUGUUUGUUGCACAGCUGAUUGGCUGGGUGUUGGUGUGUGUAUGUGUGCGAGAUAGAGAGAGAGAGCAAAAAGCAGAGAGGAAAGAAACAGAAAGCGUGCAUGCCGCAAGUCUAGACACACACGCACACACGCGCUCACUUAAAGCAACACAUACACAGCUGCUAAUUUAAUUAAAAAUAUAAAAUAAAUACAAUUUCUUCUUUAGAUCUUUUGUGGUUGGGCUACACUUUACACUUCUUUAUUUAAUUUUUUGGCGAAAAUUGCACGCGACAUUGGCAAUGUUGCCGUGCCAGCCGAAAAGAAUGAGAGAGAGAGAGCUUCUCACACACACUCGAAAAGGCACACUCACGCUACACACACGCGGCAGGGCCAGCCAGGCAAACGACAAAGACGGUGUACAGUCCACUUGUUAAAUCAAUAAAAAUAAAAAGAAAUCAACCAAAAAAAACUGCCACAAACUUUAAGAAAAACCAUCAAGGCUUUCCACUCAAGUCGGGAUCGAAACUGAGGCACAUUCUUGGCCCCCGGUGAAGGGCCCCGCUGUCGAAGGCGGGCAACCUUCAGCGAAUGUCAAGGACCACUGGGCACUGGAUAGCCUCUAGCACAUGUCUCUCACGAGACACAAUUUUUCUUAGCAUUCAAUUAGCACUUGGUAUACAUACGCCCGAAGGACUUUUUCACCUGGGAUCGGUUCACUUUUUGUUUUUUAAGUUUUCACUUUUUGGGAUUUAAUAAUUUUUUUGCAACGAAAAAAAAAAUAUUUAAGUCUUACC